rnacentral:rRNA from 1 species
AUUGAACGCUGGCGGCAUGCUUUACACAUGCAAGUCGAACGGUAACAGGCCUUCGGGUGCUGACGAGUGGCGAACGGGUGAGUAAUGCAUCGGAACGUGCCCAGAGGUGGGGGAUAACGCAGCGAAAGCUGUGCUAAUACCGCAUGUGAUCUGAGGAUGAAAGCGGGGGACCAGGCAGCAAUGUUUGGCCUCGCGCCUUUGGAGCGGCCGAUGUCAGAUUAGGUAGUUGGUGGGGUAAAGGCCUACCAAGCCGACGAUCUGUAGCUGGUCUGAGAGGACGACCAGCCACACUGGGACGGGAACACGGCCCAGACACCUACGGAAGGCAGCAGUGGGGAAUUUUGGACAAUGGGCGCAAGCCUGAUCCAGCAAUGCCGCGUGCGGGAAGAAGGCCUUCGGGUUGUAAACCGCUUUUGUACGGAACGAAAAGGCUCUGGCUAAUACCUGGGGCUGAUGACGGUACCGUAAGAAUAAGCACCGGCUAACUACGUG